GUUUGGGCAUUUUGCUUGGGAAAUGGCUAUGCUGGAUUGAAGGAUGCUCUUGGUUCAAAUGAUUCCAGACUUCAAAGUUCCAAAUUAUAUUUCACAUGCAUGUCGCUAGCCGGGAUGCUACUUCAGUGAGACAUUGAAGCCCAUAUCAGAAGAGCACCAGGCAAGAGUUGGAGAACUAGGAGUCUUCGGCUGUCGCUACGGCCUUCGGAUUGCUCCUGUAUUCUUCAAUGGACAAUCCUUGACACGGUCACAUAAGCACAACA